GAUGAACGCUGGCGGCGUGCCUAAUACAUGCAAGUCGAGCGGACGGACGCGGAGCUUGCUUUUCUGACGUUUGCGGCGGGCGGGUGUGUCACGCGUGGAUCACCUACCUGUCUGACUGGGAUCAUUUCGAGACAGCGGCGAUAAUACCGGAUGAUCUUUUGCUCCGCAUAGUUCAAUAGUAAAAUACGGUCUUGCUGUCACUUAUAGCUGCUUCUGGGCUGCAUUAGCUAGUUGGUGAGGUAACGGCUUACCAAGGCAACGCUGCGUAGCCGACCUGUGAGGGGGAUCGGCGACACUGGAACUGAGACACGGUCCAGACGCCUAAGGGAGGCAGCAGUAGGGAAUGUGCCGCAAUGGGCGAAAGCCUGACGGAGCAACGGCGCGUGUGUGAUGAAGGUCUUCGGAGCGGAAAACUCGGUUAUUAGGGAAGAACAGAUGUGGAAGUUGCUGAGCACUGCGUGACGGUAACGAAUCAGAAAGCCACGGCUAACUACGUG
rnacentral:rRNA from 1 species